GACGAACGCUGGCGGCAUGCCUAACACAUGCAAGUCGAACGGAGAUUAUUUCGGUAAUCUUAGUGGCGAACGGGUGAGUAACGCGUGGGCAACCUACCCUCUAGAUGGGGACAACAUCCCGAAAGGGGUGCUAAUACCGAAUGUGACAGCAAUCUCGCAUGAGGAUGCUGUGAAAGAUGGCCUCUAUUUAUAAGCUAUCGCUAGAGGAUGGGCCUGCGUCUGAUUAGCUAGUUGGUGGGGUAACGGCCUACCAAGGCGAUGAUCAGUAGCCGGUCUGAGAGGAUGAACGGCCACAUUGGGACUGAGACACGGCCCAGACUCCUACGGGAGGCAGCAGUGGGGAAUCUUCCGCAAUGGGCGAAAGCCUGACGGAGCAAUGCCGCGUGAGUGAUGAAGGAAUUCGUUCCGUAAAGCUCUUUUGUUUAUGACGAAUGUGCAGAUUGUGAACAAUGAUUUGUAAUGACGGUAGUAAACGAAUAAGCCACGGCUAACUACGUGCCAGCCGCCGCCGUAACAC
rnacentral:rRNA from 1 species